rfam:Cajanus cajan CcLG06_1051, whole genome shotgun sequence.
UAGCUAUUGUGGUAUUGGCUCGGUUCACUCAGACACACACACACUCGCUGUGUUUUCGAUUUUUGAUUGAGCCGUGCCAAUAUCUCACUGCUGUUU